GACGAACGCUGGCGGCGUGCUUAACACAUGCAAGUCGAACGGAAAGGCCCUGCUUUUGUGGGGUGCUCGAGUGGCGAACGGGUGAGUAACACGUGAGUAACCUGCCCUUGACUUUGGGAUAACUUCAGGAAACUGGGGCUAAUACCGGAUAGGAGCUCCUGCUGCAUGGUGGGGGUUGGAAAGUUUCGGCGGUUGGGGAUGGACUCGCGGCUUAUCAGCUUGUUGGUGGGGUAGUGGCUUACCAAGGCUUUGACGGGUAGCCGGCCUGAGAGGGUGACCGGCCACAUUGGGACUGAGAUACGGCCCAGACUCCUACGGGAGGCAGCAGGGGGGAAUAUUGCACAAUGGGCGGAAGCCUGAUGCAGCAACGCCGCGUGCGGGAUGACGGCCUUCGGGUUGUAAACCGCUUUCGCCUGUGACGAAGCGUGAGUGACGGUAAUGGGUAAAGAAGCACCGGCUAACUACGGGC
rnacentral:rRNA from 1 species